rnacentral:rRNA from 1 species
AUGCUAGGAAUCUACCUGGUAGUGUGGGACAACCCGGCGAAAGCCAGGCUAAUACCGCAUACGAUCCAAGGAUGAAAGCAGAGGACCGCAAGGCCUUGCGCUAUCAGAUGAGCCUGCGUCGGAUUAGCUAGUUGGUAGGGUAAAAGCCUACCAAGGCAACGAUCCGUAACUGGUUUGAGAGAACGACCAGUCACACUGGGACUGAGACACGGCCCAGACUCCUACGGGAGGCAGCAGUGGGGAAUAUUGGACAAUGGGGGCAACCCUGAUCCAGCAAUGCCGCGUGUGUGAAGAAGGCCUUCGGGUUGUAAAGCACUUUCGGUGGGGAAAAAUUUGGCGGAGCUAACAUCUCCGCCCUUGAUGGUACCCAAAGAAGAAGCACCGGCUAACUCUGUGCCAGCAGCCGCGGUAAUACAGAGGGUGCAAGCGUUAAUCGGAAUUACUGGGCGUAAAGGGUGCGUAGGUGGUUUGUUAAGUCAGGCGUGAAAUCCUCGGGCUCAACCUGGGAACUGCGUCUGAUACUGGCA